GGGGAAUUAGCUCAAAUGGUAGAGCGAUCACUUUGCACGCGAGAGGUAGAAGGAUCGAAUCCUGAAUUCCCCA